UUGUCGUCAGCUCGUGCCGUGAGGUGUCGGUUAAGUCCCAUAACGAGACGCAACCCCUAUUGUUAGUUGCCAUCAUUCAGUUGGGCACUCUAGCGAGACUGCCGGUAAUAAACCGGAGGAAGGUGGGGAUGACGUCAAAUCAUCAUGCCCCUUAUGACCUGGGCUACACACGUGCUACAAUGGUUGGUACAACGAGUUGCGAGUCGGUGACGGCGAGCUAAUCUCUUAAAGCCAAUCUCAGUUCGGAUUGUAGGCUGCAACUCGCCUACAUGAAGUCGGAAUCGCUAGUAAUCGCGGAUCAGCACGCCGCGGUGAAUACGUUCCCGGGCCUU
rnacentral:rRNA from 1 species